GGAAACACUUCUUCAUUCGAACACCGGAAGUACACCGGCUGUCGAGCGAUCCCGGCGACGGCGGAGACGAAAUCUAAUCUAUUGAGUUCAAUAAAGCCUCUUCAUGUACUGUUUAUGAAGUAACUUAUAAUAAGGAGACUUUAUAUGACGUAACGAUUUAAUAAGGAGUUUUUUAUGACGUAACAGUUUAAUAAGGAGACUCGAGAUGUUCAACAGACAGACCAGCCUCUGGAUGGGUGACCUGGACCCCUACAUGGACGAGAACUUCAUCAAGCAGGCCUUCAGCACCAUGGGGGAGACAGCGUUCGGAGUCAAGAUCAUCACCCACAGAAUCACAGGGGGCUCGGCAGGCUACUGCUUUGUGGAGAUGUCUGAUGAGGCGAGCGUGGACCGCUGUGUUCAGAGGCUGAACGGGAAGCUGGUCCCUGGAUCCAACCCUCCCCGCAAGUUUAAGCUAAACUAUGCAACCUACGGGAAACGGCCAGAAGCAGGGCCAGAGUUCUCUGUGUUUGUGGGCGACUUGUCCUCCGAUGUGGACGACUUCCAGCUCCACCAAGUCUUUAAGAAGUACCCCUCCUGCAAAGGGGCCAAGGUGGUGACAGACCAGUACGGGAACUCCAGAGGUUACGGCUUUGUGAAGUUCGGAGAAGAGACGGAGCAGAAGAGGUCCAUCGAGGAGUGCCAGGGAACCGUGCUCGGAGGAAAGCCGCUGCGCCUUAGUAUCGCUGUGGCCAAAAGCCAAAAGGUGAGCAACUACCACGGAGGCCAGGGCCAAGGUUACCAUAGCAACUACAAUCAGCAGCAGUCCGGCUACUAUGGAAGCCAUGGCAACGGAGGGCAGGGGGGUUACUACCCCCAGUGGGGGGGAUAUGACCAGUAUGGUGGCUAUAGCAACAGUGGCUAUAGCAAUGCCGGCUACCCCCCAGGAUACAACUACAACUACGGAGCGUAUGGAUACCCCCCCCCCGGCCACGCAGCGGGCCCUCCCCCCCCUGCUGGAGUCCCGCCCACAUCCACCGAGGCAUCGGGGGCCACAGAGGGUUGCCACGAUGACAGCGGUGAGGUGGAGGACAACGGAGAAGAGCUGGAUGUGGUGGACGUGCUGCAGGCUAACAGAGACUUCAUGGAACACAGCGAGGAACUUUAUGAUGCAAUGAUGGACUGCCAGUGGGAGCCCCUUGACACCAUAACCUCCCCCAUCCCCUCCCUCUCCUGAGGCCCCUCCCCCAUUACCUUCCUCUCCUGAGGCUCCUCCCCAUCCCCUCCCUCUCCUGAGGCCCCUCCCUCAUCCUCUCCUGAGGCCCCUCCCCCAGCCCCUCCCUCUCCUGAGGCCCCUCCCCCAUCCUCUCCCUCCUGAGAAACGGUCACCCUGACUUCCCGUACUGGAGAACGACACGAUGACAUCACUGCAGCUCAGUGGGGUUCUAAGUCUCCUGGCUGAAUACCCUACUCUGUGUGUGUGUGUGUGUGUGUGUGUGUGUGUGUGUGUGUGUGUGUGUGUGUGUGUGUGUGUGUGUGUGUGUGUGUGUGUGUGUGCGCGUGCGUGUUUGUGUGUGUGACCUGUGUGUUCAGACCUUCUUCCAGUAGUGUAUAGCAAACUUCCCUUUUGUUGCAUCAUACUUGUAGUAAUGCAAUGGAUUUUGGGUUUGACAUGCAUUUUAUUUUUUGUACAUUUUUUACAAAUACCUUUUUGUGCUUCACAUAGUGAGGCUGACAGCAGUAAGGAUUGGGAGAGUUUGCCAAAAUGUUGUAGAACCCUUUCAAUCUCUGCCCAUUACUGUGGAUUAUUGAUGUCCAUCUUGAACGUUGAUUAAAAAAUGUAACUCACUCA